rnacentral:rRNA from 1 species
UCACUUGUGGGGGGAUUAGUGGCGAACGGGUGAGUAACACGUGAGUAACCUGCCCUUGACUCUGGGAUAAGCCUGGGAAACCGGGUCUAAUACUGGAUACGACCUUCUGGCGCAUGCCAUGUUGGUGGAAAGCUUUUGUGGUUUUGGAUGGACUCGCGGCCUAUCAGCUUGUUGGUGGGGUAAUGGCCUACCAAGGCGACGACGGGUAGCCGGCCUGAGAGGGUGACCGGCCACACUGGGACUGAGACACGGCCCAGACUCCUACGGGAGGCAGCAGUGGGGAAUAUUGCACAAUGGGCGCAAGCCUGAUGCAGCGACGCCGCGUGAGGGAUGAAGGCCUUCGGGUUGUAAACCUCUUUCAGUAGGGAAGAAGCUGGUCCUUCGGGGUUGGUGACGGUACCUGCAGAAGAAGCGCCGGCUAACUACGUGCCAGCAGCCGCGGUAAUACGUAGGGCGCAAGCGUUAUCCGGAAUUAUUGGGCGUAAAGAGCUCGUAGGCGGUUUGUCGCGUCUGCCGUGAAAGUCCGGGGCUUAACUCCGGAUCUGCGGUGGGUACGGGCAGACUAGAGUGCAGUAGGGGAGACUGGAAUUCCUGGUGUAGCGGUGAAAUGCGCAGAUAUCAGGAGGAACACCGAUGGCGAAGGCAGGUCUCUGGGCUGUAACUGACGCUGAGGAGCGAAAGCAUGGGGAGCGAACAGGAUUAGAUACCCUGGUAGUCCAUGCCGUAAACGUUGGGCACUAGGUGUGGGGGACAUUCCACGUUUUCCGCGCCGUAGCUAACGCAUUAAGUGCCCCGCCUGGGGAGUACGGCCGCAAGGCUAAAACUCAAAGGAAUUGACGGGGGCCCGCACAAGCGGCGGAGCAUGCGGAUUAAUUCGAUGCAACGCGAAAGAACCUUACCAAGGGCUUGACAUGAACCCG